rnacentral:lncRNA from 1 species
AGCAAUAACUCUCAAAGAUUUCUGUACGGUAGUGAAUACCAUUCUUUUAGGUUUUAUGAUAAUUUCUAUAAAAUUUAGUAAGAUUCUAAACAUGACUGUAUAAUUCUGUCAAGUUGUGUACAGUGGUACAUAUUACAAUUCGCCUCUGUACUUGGCUGCUGUCUUAUAAAGUGGAACGUAUCUCCUUACCUGCAAAAUCGACUAUGGUCUGACCCAGAAAAGGAUGAGGUCCAACAGGCCCGAAUCUAAAACUGCCCAAAACGCGCCAUUUGUCACGACGGUUCCAGCCACCGACUCCAUCCGACAAAACAAUAUUUCCGUCUCUUAAACUUAUAUACCUACUGGAGGAUUCUAUCUCCCUACUGCCAAAUACAAAGAGAAUUCGUCUUCCGUACUCCGCCUAUUUCAGACAGGUGGACUGGACCAUUUGAGGAUUAAAUGUCUUCGCACAAAAUCAGUGUAACUCCUUUAUGGGAAUACGAACCCCCGAAAUUUCGAUCGACAAUAUUCUUUAAACUUAGCAGUCAGUCCACGACCUUUAGCCUGGAAUUGAGCAUCGAAUAUUCAAUCUGACCAUUGUAGCAUGUAUCUUCAAUUGAAACCGAAACUUCGGCUGAUUUGACCUGAAAGUUCUGGACAUAACACCUUCAGUUCGCAAGACUAUCUCCAUUUUGUAUUUCCUUAUUGUUUUAGAAAAAAAUUACAGGAAUUUAUAGCAUGAGAAUAUUUUCAUCGUAGAUCUACCAAUUUCUCAAACGCUGCUCCUGAUUCUUCUUAUUCUUCUGUUACGGGAUAAUCCUGAACAUCCCUACUAGGCUGAAGUUGGACUAACCAGUUAUAAUAAAUAAGAAGUGAGUGAACAGUCAGGAAUAUAACUGAGGGUACUAAAAGGCGCCGAGCUGGCAGAAACGUUAGCGCGCCGGGCGAAAUGCUUAGCGGUAUUUCGUCUGUCGUUACGUUGUGAGUUCAAAUUCCGCCGAGGUCGAUGGUAUUAGUUUGAUUGUGUUGGUUUACGGUAUUAGUUUGAUGUGUAUUGGUUUAAAAGUCGGUAGUUGAACCUUGAAUACGGAGUAUGGCACCUACGUUCGAAUUGUACAGAGUGCGUUUUGUGUUAACAUAUAUUUCUGCGAUAGGUUACUGUUAAAUAACCACAACCAACUAUUUAUUUGUGUAAUGCCAUUUUAAACCAGACGUGUACACCCACGUCGUAACAUCUCCAUUUACACACAAAAACAAAAACGAAAGAAAUAAAUAAUUGUCGCAAAGGCAAAAAUUUCGUACAAAAUAGUUAUCUCCAUUGUAGUAAGCAUUAUCUGGUUUUAAAAGCUUAAACACAGCUUAGGAGGAUAUAACAGUCUCUUACUUUCGAUAAAAAUAUGUGUUGUUCUGCUUUAGUUAGAAAGAAAUAUAUUUUUAAUCUACAGCGUGAUCCAAAUGCAAUUUGAUCCUUAACGUUAACCACGAAGGGAAGAUUAUCCAGGAAAAAAAAAACCCCAAAUUUUUCAUUAUAUUCCACUUUCUUUUCUUUCAGUUCUGUUUCUUUCCUUUUAUUUCUUUAUUUUUAAUAAAUAUUUCUUUAUUUUUUUUUUAUUUUUUCAAAACUUUUUGUUCAGCUUGCGAUUAUGUUAAUAACACAGGACACAAAACACAGACAGAUACAAAAUAUACGAAAGGGAAAAAAAGCCAAACAAAAGCAAAAGAACAUUGAACUAAAAAACACAAAAACACUUUAUAGAAAGAGUUCGGAUUGUCGACAGAAGAACAUAUAUUGUAGAGACGUGUGCGUUUGUUUCGUGCAGCAUAGAAAUACAGUUACACGAUUGGAACGAAAGGUUCCACUUUCUUGU